GCAGGUUUAAGUUCUGGCUCAGAUUGAACGCUGGCGGGAUGCUUUACACAUGCAAGUCAGACAGCAGCACGGACUUCGGUCUGGUGGCGAGUAGCGAACAGGUGAGUAAUGUAUCGGAACGUGCCUAGUAGCGGGGGAUAACUACGCAGCGUAGCUAUCUGCCAUCGCCCUUCGGGGGAAAGCGGGGGACCUUCGGGCCUCGCACUAUUAGAGCGGCCGAUAUCGGAUUAGCUAGUUGGUGGAGAUAACAGCUCCGCCAGGCGACGAUCCGUAGCUGGUUUGAAGGACGACCAGCCACACUGGGACUGAGACACAGCCCAGACUCUGCGGGAGGCAGCAGUGGGGAAUUUUGGACAAUGGGGAAACCUGAUCCAGCCAUCCCGCGUGGUGUCGUGCAGAGGCUUCCUUCAAGGAUUCGCUAAACGCUUACUGGCAGAAGAAACGGCACGGGAUAAUACCCCGUGCAACUGACAGUACCUGCAGAAUAAGCACCGGCUAACUACGUGCCAGCAGCCACUGCUGGGCUGCGUCGUAGGGUGCAAGCGUUAAUCGGAAUUACUGGGCGUAAAGCGCCGAGCGGUUCGGAAGAAAAGAUGUGAGAAUCCGAAGCUUAACUUUGGAACUGCAUUUUUAACUACCGAGCUGGGACCUGUGUGCUGUCAGAGGAGGUGGAAUUCCGCGUGUAGCAGUGAAAUGCGUAGAUAUGCGGGAAGAACACCGAUACAGCGAAGGCAACCUCCCUGGGUCUUUGCUAAUGCUCUGUACGAAAACACAUUAAGAACAACCGGAUCCGAUACCUGGCGAGUCUGCGCCCUAACGAUGUCGCUAACAUUUGGGCCUUCGGGCGGUAGCCGCAGCUAACGCGUGAAGUUGACCACCUAUAGGAGUACGGUCGCAAGAUUAAAACUCAAAGGAAUGACGAGGUUCACACAGCAGUGGAUGAUGUGGAUUAAUUCGAUGCAACGCGAAAAACCUUACCCAUGACAUGUCUGGAAUCGAAGAAGUUGGGAGUGCUCGCAAAAGAGAACCGGAACACAGGUGCUGCAUGGCUGUCGUCAGCUCGUGUCGUGAGAUGUUGGGUUAAGUCCCGCAAUGACGCAACCCUUGUCAUUAGUUGCUACGAAGGCACUCUAAUACAUUGCCGGUGACAAACCGGAGGAAGGUGGGAUGACGUCAAGUCCUCAUGGCCCUUAUGGGUGGAACUUCACGUCAUACAAUGGUCGGGACAGAGGGUCGCCAACCCCGCGAGGGGAGUAAUGCGAAACCGAUCGUAGUCCGGAUCGCAGUCUGCAACUCGACUGCGUGAAGUCAGAAUCCGCUAGUAAUCGCGGAUCAGCAUGUCGCGGUGAAUACGUUCCCGGGUCUUGUACACACCGCCCGUCACACCAUGGGAGUGGGUUUUACCAGAAGUAGUUAGCCUAACCGUAAGGAGGGCGAUUACCACGGUAGGAUUCAUGACUGGGUGAAGUCGUAACAAGGUAA
rnacentral:rRNA from 1 species